UACGUAGGGGGGCAAGCGUUGUCCGGAUUUAUUGGGCGUAAAGAGCGUGUAGGCGGCCAAGCAGGUCCGCUGUGAAAACUCGAGGCUCAACCUCGAGACGUCGGUGGAAACCGUUUGGCUAGAGUCCGGAAGAGGAGAGUGGAAUUCCCGGUGUAGCGGUGAAAUGCGCAGAUAUCAGGAGGAACACCGAUGGCGAAGGCAGUGUUCUGGGCC
rnacentral:rRNA from 1 species